rnacentral:pre_miRNA from 1 species
GACAGUGCGAGGGCCUUAUCUGGAUCGGGUUUCGCUGGCUAACGUGUUGUUAAAAGCGAGUAAGCGAGUAAAUCUUCAAUUCGUUGUCGACGAAACCUGCACGGAAUAAGGCACGGCAGCAAU